rnacentral:rRNA from 1 species
UACGAAGGGGGCUAGCGUUGCUCGGAAUCACUGGGCGUAAAGCGCACGUAGGCGGAUUGUUAAGUCAGGGGUGAAAUCCUGGAGCUCAACUCCAGAACUGCCUUUGAUACUGGCAAUCUCGAGUUCGGGAGAGGUGAGUGGAACUGCGAGUGUAGAGGUGAAAUUCGUAGAUAUUCGCAAGAACACCAGUGGCGAAGGCGGCUCACUGGCCCGAUACUGACGCUGAGGCACGAAAGCGUGGGGAGCAAACAGGG